UACAGAGACUGCAAGCGUUAUUCGGAUUCACUGGGCGUAAAGGGUGCGCAGGCGGCCAAGUGUGUGAGGCGUGAAAGCCCGGGGCUUAACCCCGGAAUUGCACCUCAAACUACAUGGCUAGAGCAUUGGAGAGGGUAGCGGAAUUCACGGUGUAGCAGUGAAAUGCGUAGAUAUCGUGAGGAACACCAGUGGCGAAAGCGGCUUCCUGGUCCAGCACCGACGUUCAGGCACGGAAAGCGUGGGGAGCAAACAGG
rnacentral:rRNA from 1 species